rnacentral:misc_RNA from 1 species
AAGUCGUAACAAGGUUUCCGUAGGGUGAGUUAUAUCUCCCAUUCCUUGUUCUUGUGCUUUUUGCUAACAUUUUUCUAGUGAACCUGCGGAAGGAUCAUUAAAGGUUUAGGGUACUCGGUGCCCAAACUUCAACCCUAUGUUUUAACUGAACCUGUUUCUUUGCCGGUUUCGACCGGCAGAAGUUUUCUCAAACUCAUUAUAAACGUGUCUUCUGAAUCAAAAAUUAAAUAAUUUAAAACUUUCAACAACGGAUCUCUUGGUUCUG